rnacentral:snRNA from 1 species
AGCACAUGUGCUAAAUGUUAAAAUUGGAAAGAUACAGAGAAGAUUAGCAUGGCCCUGCACACGGAUGACAUGCAAAUUUGUGAAGCUUCCAUAUUUUU